GUCCUUGGCUUGUGGGGGUGUUGCUAAAUUUUUUGUUUUUUUUUGUUUUUCCACUGCUGAGCACUGUGGCCCCAAUCCAGCAAAGCACUUAAGCAAGCAAAUAAUUUUAACCAUGUAAAUAAUCACAUUGCUUUUCUGAAUUAAGACCAGAGCGCUCAGCACUUGCUGAAU